AUGUACAGCCCAGGUCCAACAGCCCACUCGGAUGCAUUGAUUGGGUUGGUCUGCGUAUCUUAUCUUAUUUUCCUAGUUGUGCUAAGUAAUGUGCGCGGUACAAGUUUCUGGUAGAGAACUUCUUUGAGUCAUCCUAUUUUUCUGUUCAUAUGAAGGAAAUUAAUGUGCGAUUUUCAAAGCAGGGGAAUCCAAAUGAAACCCUUUUUUUUUGCUCAGUCUAUCUGGAAUGCUUUUGUAUAA
rnacentral:rRNA from 1 species